rnacentral:lncRNA from 1 species
GGAGAGGGAUGUGUGCACUGUCGAAAUUUUACAGCUUCCACUGCGUGGAGCAGGGGCUUUCCAAACACGGUCUGUAGACCCGCAACAUCACCUGGGAACUUGCUAGAAAUGCCCAUUCUCACCGCGUCCUGAGUUAGAAACUCCAGUGGGUGGGGCCAGCAGUGUGUUUUAAGAAGCCCUCCAGGUGAUUGUGAUGCCUGCCAGCAUUGGAGAACCACGACCCUGGGCCCAACUGUAAUGACUGCUAAGUGGUACUGAGAACUCCCUCCGCACCAGAUCUUAACCUGUUGGGGAGUCGCUACAAGGGCUUGAUCCCCAGCAAACACUUGGCGGUCCAAACCCCACCACCCCUCACCUUCCAGAAAACUCCACCUACACACCAGCAGGAAAGGAUGGUGAGUGCCAAGAGGGAGAAUAAGGAAGCUUUG